rnacentral:rRNA from 1 species
UACAUGGGGUGCAAACGUUGCUCGGAAUUAUUGGGCGUAAAGCGCACGUAGGCGGUUCGUUAAGUCGGAUGUGAAAGCCCUCGGCUCAACUGAGGAAGUGCACCCGAAACUGGCGAGCUUGAGUACAAAAGAGGAUCGCGGAAUUCCCGGUGUAGAGGUGAAAUUCGUAGAUAUCGGGAGGAACACCGGUGGCGAAGGCGGCGAUCUGGGUCGAUACUGACGCUGAGGUGCGAAAGCGUGGGGAGCAAACAGG